AGUCCAAUAUAUUUCGAAUGCACAAAUUCCUGCAGCAAAAUUUGACAGUCUGUAGUUUCUCGAAAGUAGCACCGUCUCACGCAGACUCUGUCAGUACUGCGCUGUGGCUAAACUCUCAACAAAGUGACGAGCCUCAUCGAGCAACAAGCCAUAAAAUGUCACAAAAGAGGAAUAAACUGGCUGCACUGCUCUGCGAGGUCAGUACUCAAGGGGUCGAGUCACGAAUCUUUAUCUCGUAAACCAAGCAGCAGUCAAGCGGAUAUUUAGUUGUGGAUUUCAGUUCAUUCUUAUUAGGCAGCAAUGAAGUGCAGCACUAGAAAAAAGAAGCAAUCCACGAGGACAGUGGGAUAAUUUUCCUGUACCUGAGUACCAUCCUGUUGACAUCCUUGGCUGUGCAGUCGACUUCAAGUUCAGGGAGGGAGAGAAGACUGGAAAAGAUGAUUGCAGGCAGCACAUCUGGUCUCACUGAUGGAGUUCCAGCAAUUAAUCCAUACUGCAUUCCACUGAAAAUCUAGAUGACACUAGUUGAGAACAAACAGAGCUUGCCAGAAAUAGGGGAAAGAUGAAAUGCCAGCAGGAGGGCCUUGGAUAACAUUGAUAGAGAUGAAUGAAAGGAGAUACAACAAAAGCCAGGUAACCUACUAUAUUCUAAGAAUUGUGGGUACUGGAAACUAAUGAAUUUGUUUUAUUAGCAGAGAAUUGUGAUGCAGAUACACAUGGUUUUGACUAAAAUAUUUAUACAUGAGACACCUGAGCUGAAACUGGUUAAAGUAUUCAUUCUGUGCUCAAGGAAAGAAAUGUUUAUAGUUGAACUUGUCUUAGCGAUUUUUGACAUGGCGCUUCACAGAUAAUAGACUAAUUUAAUAUUUUCGCUUAUAAAGAAUGACAAAAUAUUCCAGAACAGCCACAUAUGAUUUUGUUUAAGAACACCGCAUUAUGAUAGAUGAUGUUUGCCUACCCAGUCUAUUUCCAUUGCUUUUGAUCGAUAUACAUAGUUUUAUAAUGUGCAAAUUAAUAGUAAUAUUGCUUUUUGAAAUCACUCAAAAGGGGUAAUUAGUAUUUCAACAUAAUUUAAAAUGUAUGGAGUUGUGAAUGAGGAUUUCAUGAAGAUUAAUAUUUGCUGCUGAUAUAAUGGCUGGGCUCAGCCCCACCUGCUAGUACUACACACUGUUUUACAAUAUGUAAAGGAGACUUUAUCUUUAACAAAAUUAGAUUUAUCAAUAAAUAGUCAUUUCCUUUCGAAAAUUAAUAGAAGGUGUAUUACAAGAUAAUAGAAGGAUAAUUAGAGUGAAUUCUGGUAUACUGGGACAUCAGAUAAACUGGAACAGCUGCAUUUAUUUUCCGGCCUAUCAAAAGUCAGUAGGCUACUUACAUUACUAAGCCAAUUCAGUAGAACUGCUUGACAUGACAUAAUGUGACAUUAUGUAAGUGGGUGUGGUCAGCGACAAACAGGAAGUUGGCCAAAAGUUUAGGAACAAUGACAUAUGCUUUGGUUAGUUUUAUAAGGUUAUAAUAUUUUCAUGAUUAAUAUAUUACACUACUUAUAAAAACUUGCAGAGUGUAAUAAAACAAACAUAGGCUAAAUUUAGUUCAAAACAUGUAAAGAUAUUUAUAAUGUAAUUGUUUCAAGAAACCAUGUUCAGGUUGAUCCAUUUUUGGAUGCCAUGUUUCAGGUUAAUUACAAUACAAUAAGUGGAGAGAGGUUAAGGGUUGUAAUGGAUGCAUGAAUGGACUCGGAAAUAUAGAACAUCACUUAUAACUACCAACUACUUAGUAUACAGAGUUUUAGUUAGUUAGUUAGUUAGUUAGUUAGUUUGUUAGUUUUUUUUGGUUUUUUUUGUACCGUGUGAUGCUACUACUGCAAGAAAUAAAUUAUAAAAUGUUUCUACUGUGGACAUAAAUUUGUUCAUACAGAUUUUUUAGAAAAGAUUGUGUAUGAAUUUGGAAAAUAGAAAAGAAAACUCCAUCAUUGUUGUUAUGGCUGUAAGAAAUUAAUUACAGAAAGCUACUUAGGUCAACAGCUUAACGAGAAAUGAAUUUUACUUGGUUUACAUAGAAUAUUAGAAUAUGGUGGCCUAAUUUUACUAUAAAUUCCCAUCUUUAUUGUACAUUCUUGACAGUGUAUCCAACAAACAUGUCUGAUCUUUCUGGAAUGUUACAAACCCAGCUACAGUACUCAGUGACAUCAGAUAGAAGAUAGUUCCACAGGUCUUCAGCUAUAGACCAUUGCUACUUCUGGUUUAAAUCUGAAUAUGAAAACAGAGCACUGAACAAAUACAGAUAUUAUUGUUUUUUAAUCUAAUAUUAUAGACUUUCUGCUUUAAUUUAAUGGUAUUUACAUCCGGGGCAGGAAUUGCAGCACACACGAAUUUAGCAUUUGCUGAAGGUAAAAUUGAAGACAAAACACCAUGAGAACAUGCAGGAAGUGAAGACAGCUGCAGUAAAGACCUGGCAGAGCUUCAUCAG